rnacentral:rRNA from 1 species
AGCUCCGGCUAACUCCGUGCCAGCAGCCGCAAUAAUACGGGGGGAGCAAGCGUUGUUCAGAUUUACGGGCUAAAGGGCGCGUAGCGCGCCACCGCAAGUCGAUGUGAAAUCUCCGGGCUUACCCCGGAAAGGUCAGCCGAUACUGCGGGGCUAGAGUGCAGAAGGGGCAACUGGAAUUCUCGGUGUAGCGGUGAAAUGCGCAGAUAUCAGGAGGAACACCGGUGGCGAAGGCGGGUCUCUGGGCAGUAACUGACGCUGAGGAGCGAAAGCGUGGGGAGCGAACAGGAUUAGAUACCCUGGUAGUCCACGCCGUAAACGUUGGGCGCUAGGUGUGGGGGCCAUUCCACGGUCUCCGUGCCGCAGCUAACGCAUUAAGCGCCCCGCCUGGGGAGUACGGCCGCAAGGCUAAAACUCAAAGGAAUUGACGGGGGCCCGCACAAGCGGCGGAGCAUGUUGCUUAAUUCGAUGCAACGCGAAGAACCUUACCUAGGCUUGACAUGCACGGAAAUCUCGUAGAGAUACGGGGUGCCUUUGGCGUCGUGCACAGGUGGUGCAUGGUUGUCGUCAGCUCGUGUCGUGAGAUGUUGGGUUAAGUCCCGCAACGAGCGCAACCCUUAUCAAUAGUUGCCAGCGGUUCGGCCGGGCACUCUAUUGAGACUGCCGUUGACAAAACGGAGGAAGGUGGGGAUGACGUCAAGUCCUCAUGGCCUUUAUGUCCAGGGCUACACACGUGCUACAAUGGCAAGUACAAACCGCCGCAAACCAGCAAUGGGGAGCCAAUCGGAAAAAGCUUGUCUCAGUUCGGAUUGGGGUCUGCAACUCGACCCCAUGAAGUUGGAGUCGCUAGUAAUCGCAGAUCAGCAACGCCGCGGUGAAUACGUUCCCGGG